rnacentral:lncRNA from 1 species
GAAGAAUCUGGUCUCCUUCAAACCGGCCUGCCGGUCUUUAAACCGGGUCAGAGUUCUGCUGAUGGGUCCUGCUGGGUCAGGAAAAUCCAGCUUCAUCAACUCUGUCAGAUCUGUGAUGUUCGGAAGAGUCCUUCUCCUGCCUUUUAUUGGCACUGCAACAAAGGGCUUCAUCAAGAAGCUGAAGUCAUAUGACAUCCGGUCAGAGAGAGGGGGGAAGCCCACAGCUCUGACCCUUUGUGAUGUGUUGGCUCUGGGGGACGGCGAGAGGACUGGCCUGACUCUCACAGACGCACUGGCUGUUAUCAAGGGAUAUGCCCCCGAGGGACAUGAUGUAUGGUAUUACCUAUCUAAAUGUAACAAUACAAUCAAGAUUUUAAAAACCCUUAGUCUUACUGAGGAUAAAUAUCAGAAAAGAUGGGCCUAUAUUGCUUGCUAUGGUUUGUCCACAUUGGACACAUGUAAACUUGGAAGGCCUACUUUUUAAAUGUUUUAUUGUUGAUGCUGUUAUAACCAACUUUGAUAAAUACACUAAAUGUACAGUAUCUGUUUUGUUUGCUUCUCAUCAAUAAAAUGAUUCUCCCACACAAUAGUUUCAAGGUGAAGCGCCCAUCAAAGCUGAGACUCCAGGUUACAGACCUGUUCCAUCGAUAAAUGACCAAAUCCAUUGUGCGGUGUUCGUUCUGAAUGCCUGCCAAAUCAUGUACACCAGUGAUGACCUUACAGAGACACUGAGGACACUUCAAGCUGAGAUUGCAGAUCUGGGUGAGCUCAUCCCAAAACUUCAGAGGGCAAUUUUGAUAUCAGUUGAUGUUAUGUUUAACUGCAUAUCAUAGCUACAACUGAUUCCUCUCUCUCACUCUCUCCCUCACACACAUGACACCGUCCUCUCCAGACAUCCCCCAGGUGGUUCUGUUGACCCAUGUGGACCAGGUGUGUCAUGCCGUCCAAGAGGAUGUGAAGUUUGUCUACUCCAGCCGCAUCCUACAGGAGAAGGUAGGUUAAGUAAUUCAAACGUUUUAAUCAAUUUAGAUUCACUCAAUAAUAUGAUGGAACAGUAUUUUUAAAGUUUUAUUUGCAAUCUAUCAUAUGUUUUGCUGUGCCACAGAUGCAGAAGGCAGCAGAGGUGGUGGGUUUGCCAGUGUCCUAUGUGCUUCCAGUUAAGAACUACUCCAGUGAGUUGUCUGUGAGCUACAACACUGACAUCCUGCUGCUGAGUGCAGUUCAUCACAUUCUCCAAGCUGUGGACGACACAUAUGAGGAAAACCACCCUCCCACCCCUGCAGACGCAUCUGCAGAACCUCCAUCUGCAGAAUUUCACAACAAGCCCAGUAACCUUUUAAUAUUUGACUAGUAACCGAAAUCAUGUGCAGUUGUUUAUUGUGAUUGGAUAAUGUUUUCUUUGUUUUCUUUUGGGUGUAAUUUUUUUCUCUCUAGAUGUUGGAACCUACCUAUGUUUAUUAGGUUUAAAAAAUAACAAGUUAAUUCAAGGGAGACAAAGUAUGUUGUACAAUAAACCAAUGAGAAGAUGACAAUG